rnacentral:rRNA from 1 species
GACGAACGCUGGCGGCGUGCCUAACACAUGCAAGUCGAGCGAUGAAGUUUCCUUCGGGAAACGGAUUAGCGGCGGACGGGUGAGUAACACGUGGGUAACCUGCCUUGUAGAGGGGGAUAGCCUUCCGAAAGGAAGAUUAAUACCGCAUAAUAUUGUAGUAUCGCAUGGUACAACAAUCAAAAGAGCAAUCUGCUACAAGAUGGACCCGCGGCGCAUUAGCUAGUUGGUAAGGUAAUGGCUUACCAAGGCGACGAUGCGUAGCCGACCUGAGAGGGUGAUCGGCCACAUUGGGACUGAGACACGGCCCAGACUCCUACGGGAGGCAGCAGUGGGGAAUAUUGCACAAUGGGGGAAACCCUGAUGCAGCAACGCCGCGUGAGUGAUGACGGUCUUCGGAUUGUAAAACUCUGUCUUUGGGGACGAUAAUGACGGUACCCAAGGAGGAAGCCACGGCUAACUACGUGCCAGCAGCCGCGGUAAUACGUAGGUGGCAAGCGUUGUCCGGAUUUACUGGGCGUAAAGGGAGCGUAGGCGGAUUUUUAAGUGGGAUGUGAAAUACUCGGGCUCAACCUGAGUGCUGCAUUCCAAACUGGAGAUCUAGAGUGCAGGAGGGGAGAGUGGAAUUCCUAGUGUAGCGGUGAAAUGCGUAGAGAUUAGGAAGAACACCAGUGGCGAAGGCGACUCUCUGGACUGUAACUGACGCUGAGGCUCGAAAGCGUGGGGAGCAAACAGG